AAAAAAAUACAACUCAUAAUUUCUAAAUCAAGUUAAUAUUUACAGAUAAAAUUGAAAGUAUUAAAUUAUAUUAUGAUUAACCAGAAAGGAUUAUAAGAUAAAAGUAGUUGAAAUGCGUGGCUAUAUUCCAUUUAAAACAAUUGUGACUAAACUUGGUUAUGCGUGGCAAAAUGGUGACCAAAUACGCUACCAGAUCCUGAAAUGUUUGGGAGAGAGAGAGAGAGAGUCCCAUCAGCAUUUAUUACAGAAUCUGUACAGUAUAUGGAGACCUCAAGGGCACAAUACAUUUUCCUGGCCUCUUGGGAUUCCCAUGGACGUCUGCGACAGCUACCAUAAUAAAAUUUUCCUUUUUGGAGGUGGAUUUUUUUUAAAAGAAAAAAUUAGCAUUAUUCAUCUAAAAAUUUAGCAAAACAACAUAGAUUUAAAAAUAGUACAGUUUAUAUAUAUAUAUACACAUACACAUACAUACAUAUAUAUUAUAAUUUCUAAACACGACAUUUAAGUAUAUUAUUAUAACAAAAUUUGACAUUUAAGAAUGCUACAAUUGAGAAACAUAAUAAUUCCAGAUGUAGAACAUGUCAUUUAGUAGGAGAAUAAAUAUUUCAACUAAUUUUGAGCAGUAUAGUUUGUGUGUGUGUGUAUAUAUUAUAAUUUCCAAACAUGACAUUUAAGUAUAUUAUUAUACAAAAACAUGACAUUUAAGCAAGCUAUGAUUGAAAAACAUGAUAAUUCAACAUGUAGUAUUUUUAAAUUGUGAUUUUUUAUAAAAUAAAACCAUGCAUCUCCUCUUCUCUGAAUAUAAUGGGGCUGCUCCUCUCAUUAAAAAAUCCAAUUUUUUAAUAAAACAUGCUAAAAAGGACAUGUCAGUUGAUAAGAGAAUAAAUAUUUCAAUUUAUUUUGAAAAAUAUAAUUUAUUCAAGUUAUAAAUUUGCUUUUAAAAAAUUAUUAGUUUAAAUAUUAUAAAUUUAAAAAUUAUUAAUUUCAAAACUCACAAAAUUACUCAAAGUAAAUAUAAACUGGCCAACUACAUGUUAAUAAAAAAAAAAUCAGCUAUGUAAACUCUUUGAACAAUAUAGGCAUAUUUUAGACGUUAAUAACGAGAAAAAAUAUUUUAAAUUCAUUCAAUCUGGUUCACGACUUGUAAAUAUAGAGGGAGGUUUUCUGAAACGUGUCGCCUAAUCCCACCAUUGAAAAAAGCAUUUAUUUGUCAACUAAAAAGACAGGAAUAAUGAAAAAAAACACCGUUCCCACCUCACUCUCUUUACCUCUAGUCUUUGCAUGCACUCGUUUCUCGACCAGUGGGUGGCGGUGGGUCACAUGCCGGUCACACAGCCAUUAAUGAUAAUUAUGAUAUGGUCCAACGUCGAACAACGGAGGAGAUAAAUAUUGAUUUUUAAAGUGUUUUUUAUUUAAAAAUAUAUUAAAAUAAUAUUUUUUAAAAUUUUUAUGUAUUAAAAUAAUUUAAAAAUAUUAAAAAAAUAAUAUGAAUUGAAAAUAAUUUUUAAAUUUUAAUGAAUGAAUCUAAGAAAAGAAACAAAAAAAACACAAGUAGGCUUGCGCUGACCAUUUGUCAUAAAAGUCACUUGCUUGCCAGCCAGUUCUUAAGGGAGAUAGAACUUUAGAGAAGAUUAGUCUGUUGGCAUCAAGAUAGAAACCUCUCUUCUGCUAGCUGAAUCUCCUUGGCCUUACACUUGCUUUUCUCUCUUCCUUGUAACUCAUCGUCCUCUUCCCUUCUUUCAAAUAUAUACAUAUACAGGUACUUUUGUAAGUUUUUUUUUUAAUGGUAUAUACCUCAUCUCUCUCUCUCUCUCUACACACGUAGGUACUCGAAAUCUUCUUUUAUUGAAUAUCAUACGUUUAUACUCCAUCUUUUCUUUCGUUUUUCAACAAAUUAUAUACAGUUUGAUAAAAAAAAAUGAAGGGAAUGCAAAAUUUCAAGGUUCACUUUCUCUUCAUUUCCUUACAAGAAUUUGUAUAUUUCAGGAUAUCGGUGUUAGAUCACCAAACUCUUAAGUUCUGUGGGUUAUAUAUCAUGCAAAAGAUGCACCUUUUUUCUUCUUCUUCUUUUUUUUGCAGCCAUAAAAUGUUUUCUUUUUCGAUUUUAUGAUAAUGUCAAUCUAUUGGUGCAUCAGAAUAUGUUCAUAUGGAUUUGCUGAAGAUAUUCCUUGUUGACUUUGCAUUUGGCAAAAGUAAUUGGUAGGAAAUGACGAGGAAGUUAUCGCGUUGAACUUUAUUAUGAAUAAUAGCCUUUAUUUUUCUUUUGUUUAGAGCAAGUUCUCUCUUCGAUCAUGCCACACUAGUAACAAGUAAACAGCUCGUGUUGGCCUACUUCUAUGAUUGCAUUAUAGAUUCUCUUGUCUUUUCUUCGAGUAUUUUCUCCUUGCCUUUUUGUUUGCUCUUUAACCAAGAAUCUUUAGCAGGUGUUGUCUCGCAAUGGAAUCUUCUCUUUUCAAUAAUUGUGCUCUGAAUUAUACAGGUUGUCUCUCUAGGAGUUGAACCUCAUUCUCUAUUCAUUGAUAGCUAAAGUUUUGGGGGUUAGUACAGGCUUGCGGGGGAAAUGGAGGGGGGGAUCAACGAAAAGCUUUUGAGAAAAGGAGGAGAGGUAGACGCUGAGGAAUUGAGGUUCAAGGACAAGUUAUGGACUGAGACCAAGAAGAUGUGGGUUGUUGCUGGUCCUGCUAUUUUCACCAGAUUCUCUACUUUCGGGAUCAAUGUAGUCAGUCAAGCAUUUAUUGGGCAUAUCGGCUCCACAGAACUAGCUGCAUACUCGCUUGUGUUCACUGUGCUUUUGAGGUUCUCCAAUGGGAUCCUGGAAAGUAGUUUGACUCAUUUCAUUUUGUGUUUCUAUUCUUUGUUGGUACUUGUUUCUUGUAUGGCAUCCUUUAAAGAUUGAUUCUCAGAUGUUGUGAGUCCUUAUGAUGACUCUAAUGUAGUGAAGCAGUUAGUGUUGGCAUCACCAUAGCACAUCCCUUUAGUUUCUUGAACGAAGUUCAUGUUCAAUGCUUAGAUGCAGACUUCUACCCUAUGGUUCGCCUGUAGUUCUUAAGUUUAAAUUUCGGAUAGGUGCAUGGCUGAAUGGGGAGGGGAAAACUCUCUCUUGCUCUACAGCUGAAGGUGAAAAUUUGCUUUAAAGGCCAUUAAAAAGUGGGAAAUGAAAUUUGAUGUUUAAUGCCUGCAGUAUGUGACAUAUAAUCUGGAAACUUGAAGACAGGAAAAUAUGUACAGGAAUGGUGUUAUUUUUCUCAAGUUUUGAAAGUACUCCCAUUUUAAGUGCUAGAAGACACGCAAUUGGUUGUAUGGCUACCUUCCUUUAUUAUAAAUGUGUCGUUUGAAUUUGCAGCUUGGCAUGGCUAGUGCGUUGGAAACUCUCUGCGGGCAAGCCUUUGGUGCAAAGCAAUAUCACAUGCUUGGAGUUUAUCUCCAAAGAUCAUGGAUAGUUUUAAUAUUAUCAGCUGUGCUACUUCUUCCUCUAUUUUUCUUUACAUCUUCAAUUUUGAAGGCCCUGGGUCAGGAGGAUUAUAUUGCGGAAGUGGCUGGAAAUAUCUCCCUGUGGUUAAUCCCUGUGAUGUUUUCCUUCAUUCCGUCCUUCACCUGCCAAAUGUUCCUACAAGCGCAGAGCAAGAACAUGAUUAUUGCAUACUUGGCAGCACUUACAUUAGUAAUCCACGUCUUCCUUUCAUGGCUAUUAAUUGUCAAAUACAAGUUUGGCAUCCCGGGAGCAAUGAUGUCGACAAUUUUGGCAUAUUGGAUACCGAAUAUUGGUCAGCUUAUGUUUGUUACCGGUGGAGGUUGCCGUGAGACAUGGAAAGGAUUCUCGACCUUAGCUUUCAAAGAUCUCUGGCCUGUCAUCAAGCUUUCUUUGUCAUCUGGUGUUAUGCUCUGGUAAGGCUUUUUAUCACCCUCUGAUUUUGUUCGAACCAUGAAUUACCUAGAAUUUGGAAUGGAUACAUCACAGCUUAAUAUGCUGGAGUAUUCAGUUUACCAUUCCGGAUUGUGGCAUGCUUUAAAUUACACCUGUUAAAACAUGAGGAUGCCACUAUGAAGAUGAGUGAAUUAAGGAAAAAUGCAUUGUUCCACUUUUUCCUACACAUGUUCAUCUUUCACCUUCUAUCACCACACAUAGCACCGGUUUCUCUGUUUUUCAGAAUCGAUUCUCUGUUUUUCAGAGUCGAAAUAUGGUUUACUUUCAACACCGUAUUGGUUGGUCAAUUUAGUAAUGAAAUCACUACGUAGCUGCUAUAUGGGGUCGUAAAAGAAACUCAAUAUGGGAUCGGCAUGCUUGUGCUAUUGUUAUGAGCCCAGUGACCAAAUAUUAGAACUAUUUGUGAGUGCUUGAGUUCUUUUAUGAUAUAGUUCAAAGAACUAUAUAGUUCUUUUAUGAAUUAACAUUCAUUUGGCAUCGAAAUGGUAAUUGUAUUUACCAGGAGUACCAAUUUAGGUAUAAUAGAAGUAUAACUUUGACACCUUAAGUAGCUGGAAUCGACAGGAUUAAUCGGUUUCAACAGUUUUGGAGCUAUGGGACGUUGUUAAGUUUUUAACUAAGGCCUGCAUAUUUUUUAGUUUAUCUUUGAUGUAGGCAUAGAUUAGAGUUUUUUUUUUUUUUGAAUAAGAAAGGGGAGUCAAAAAUGUUGAACUUUUAACAACUGUUCUGUUGGGUCGAUUUCUUCACUUGUGAUGUCCACAACAUAUUCACCUGGAGGCUGAGUUAAAUUCAUGGUACAUUACAGCCUCGAGCUCUGGUACAACACAGUGCUGGUUCUUUUAACAGGAAACUUGAAAAAUGCAGAGGUUGCUAUCGACGCUCUUUCUAUCUGGUAAUCAUUCCUUGGCAAAUGUUUUUAUUUUCCUAUACUUUAUUCUUCUUUAUUAGGAAAAAGUUCUUUAAAGAUGUUCCUGUUUGCAGCCUCAACAUCAAUGGAUGGGAGAUGAUGAUAUCUCUCGGUUUCUUGGCUGCUGCAAGGUGUAUUAUCAUCUCAAUCAUGGGCAUUAUCUUCUUAUGGAAUUCAUAUUUAUGGCGAUAAAAUCAGUCAACCACAUAAAAAAGAAGAAGAAGCAGAGAUGCUUAGAAUAUGUACGUGUGAGUGUGUACCUUUCAGACAGCUGAUUUGAUUCUUGUUUCAUGUUUUUGUUGGAAACUCCAGUGUUCGAGUGUCAAAUGAACUUGGGAGAGGGAGCUCAAAAGCUGCAAAGUUCUCGAUCGUGGUGACAGUUCUUACAUCAUUUUCAAUCGGCCUUCUACUGUUUUUGGUAUUCUUAUUCGCCAGAGGAUCUCUUGCUUACGUCUUUACUACAAGUCAUGAGGUGGCCAGUGCUGUCGCAAAUCUCUCACCGCUACUGGCUUUCUCCAUACUUUUGAACAGUGUACAACCAGUGCUCUCCGGUAACUUACCAAGUUCUUAAUAACAUAUAUAUACCGUAACUGAUGUUGUAACCCCGCGAAAGGAUCUUAACAACAUCUGCAUUUAUUAAUACACUAUCCACUUAUUCUCUUCAACAGGAGUUGCUGUUGGGGCUGGGUGGCAGAGCAUUGUAGCGUACAUUAAUAUAGCGUGCUACUACUUGGUCGGAAUUCCUAUUGGAGUUGUGCUUGGUUAUGUCAUGGAUCUGCAAGUCAAAGUGAGUCAUUCUCAUCGCUUCUUCCUUUCUUUCAUGAUAUAGUUCAAAGUCUCUGCAACCUUACACAGGAUAAUGGGAAAGAAUCAUAUAGAAAGUGUAAUUCUUUAGCACGCUUUCACAUGAUUGAUUCUGCAGCCCACCUACUGCUUCAUCGCUAGCUAUUUCCUUUGUUUUGCUUUCUCAGAAAACUUGUUUUGUAGGGUGUUUGGAUUGGGAUGUUGAUUGGGACAUUUAUUCAAACUGUUGUUCUGCUUAUAGUCACCUACAGAACUGACUGGGAAAAACAGGUAUUUUGGUUUUGCCUUCAGCUUUCUUUCUAUACUCUCACUUCAACCCAGAAACUCAAGUGUGUUUAUACAAAAACAAAUGCAUCUGCAGGUAAUUGUUGCUCAUAACAAGAUCAACAAGUGGUUUGUAGCUGAUCCUGAAGAAACAAGCACCCAAGUUGCAUGAAGUUGGCUGUCCUUGAUUUAUGUUGUAUACUUGUUUUUUUGACAAAGCAUCAAUCGGUGCCCAUAUUCUGAACUAGGUAAUUGUGAUUUUUGAAGGCCAAUUUUAGAUCUUCAGAAUUUAAAGAUGCUGAAGCUCCAAAGUUGUUUCCUGAGCCAUUGAUUCAGAUGCUCUGGUCACCAGAGUCUGGUGUUCUAAUUAAUUACCUGCAAUGAGAAGUUUUUUCUUGUAAUACGAUAAUAUCCUGUUUGUUUUUUAUUUUAAAAAGUUAAAUUUUUUUAAAAAAGAUUUUUUAAAAAAUUUAUUUUUUUAUAUUUUUAAAUUAUUUUGAUACGUUAAAAAUAAUUUUUAAAAAACAAAAAAAUAUAUUAUUUUAACAUAUUUUUAAAUAAAAAAUAUCACUAAAAUUCAACCAAAUAUUUGUAACUGUUGACAGAAACACAACCGAAAACAGCACUUCAAAGCAUGAUGUGGUAAAUAAGAUGACUUCGAAAGCAAGUUUUGUAGCGUCGAUGUUCAUCUGAAACACAGAAUCUGGAAAAUGCAGUCCAAAAGCAGCAUGUUAAUUGUGUAUGUGUUUAUCUUUUUUUAAUAGAGAAAUGAAAGGACGGGAGGCCCAAGGAACAAAGACACCGAUUGAUUAAUGUUUUUUAAAAAUUCAUGAAGUCUAAUUUUUUUAAAAUCAAAUAUUAAAUAAUUAAAUUAAAGAAAAAAAUGGUUAGUAAAAACAAAAAUAAAAAAAAUAAAAACCAAAAUUUACACAAAAAACUAACAAUCCCUUUUGGUUUUUAAAGUGUUCAAAGUAUAGAGAGAAAAAAAAGGGAAUAAACGAAAUAAAAGAAGAAUUUUUAACCAUAGCCAAAUAGAAAAUGCACCAACUACAAGCCCCACAAGUGAAUGGUUGCAUGACGAGAAUGAAAAAGGUUGCAUAUGUAAGAACGUCAAAUGUUUAUAUUUAAUUAAUUAAUUUAAUUUAAUUUAAAAAUAAAAUCUUUUUAAAAAGCAUUAAGUUUAAUAAAGUACAAUAAAUAUAAAGAUCCAAGAUAACCCGAGUUAUUUUGAAAAUUAAUAAAAAAAAUUCUAUAAAAAGAAAAUAAAAAUAAAAUAGCUUAAUCUUCAAUUAAAUAAAUGUUGAAUGAUGAAUUGUAAAAACAUGAGCUUCGAAAAAGGAAAAGAAAAAGAGCAAACCUGGGUAAAUGUCCUAAAACUGAGUUAAAUUCCCAAACAUGUAACUUGUGAAAUGCUAGAUUUAGACACAAAUAAGAAGUGCAAUUCUCAACCAAUUUAAUUUUGAAUGAGAAAAUUGAUAAAAACAUCAAUUUAAAAAAUUUGUCAAAGUAAAGAAAAUAACAAUAAAAAGAGUGAUGAUCAAAUUUGAUAGAAAGAAAAUAAAGGAGGAUGAAUUUUUUUUUAAAAUUCAAAUUUAAGAAUUAUUUCAAAUAAAAUAAUUAACAAUAAAAAGUAAGUACCAUAUUUGACAGAUAAAAAAAAUAGAACAAGGAUGAAAUUGAAAUAAAAUUUCAAAUUUAUAAAUUCUUUCACAUAAAAAAUUAUAACAAAAAGAAUGGGGACUAAAUCAGAAGAAAAAAUAAAUUGAAGGGCUGCCCUAAAACGUGUAGAGUCAAAUGUGAAAAUUGAGGAUGAGAGAAAAAAGAAAGAAAAACAAUGUCGUUCAUGCCAAACUAGAGGUCUGUUGAUCGCAUGUGUUGCUACCCAAUUUUUUGAUCCAUGUUUUUGAGAUAUUUUCAAAAAAAAUCCAAAAAUAGAGAAAAAACAAUGAAAAGCCAAAAAAAAUAUGUUUUUUAAUAUAUUCUCAUCAUUUUAGCAUUUUUCAACGUCGUCUAAAAAACAAAAAAAAACAAAAAAAGAAUUAAAAUUUUUAAAAUAUUUUCAAACGCGUUCAACUUUUCACGCGUUAUUUUUAAAAUCAUUGAUUUUCCUCGUUGAGUCGACGUUGAUAUUGCUCGUUUUCAAAAAUAUACAAAAAAAUAAGAAAAAUCAAAAUUUACAAAAAGAAAGAAGUUGAGGGACCAAGUUGAAAAACUUGGCAACAUUUUUGCCUAUAAAUACUGGUCUUUAACUCACACAAUGGGGGGGGCAAUUUUGAAAUAUAAAAAAAAAUAUAAAAAAACAACCUAACCCUAAACCUAUCUCUACCAAGCCUGCCGCCCCCCUCCCUUUGAAUUUUGUUUCCCGAGCCUUCUUCUCCUGAAGCCAAAACACAGCCGCCCUCACCUUUUUGCAUUUUUGAACACCGGCCAAACAGCCCCCCCCCAAACCCCCCGGUUUGAUUUUUCUUCCUUUCUCCCUUACACAGCGCCGUCCUUCAGCCCCCAUUUUUCAGACCAUCCCCAUCUUCAGCUUUAGCUGCUCAAGCCCGCUUCUCGGUUUCAAUUUUUCAGACCCAAACCAGCCGGCCAAGACAGCUCCUCUCCCACUCACGGCGGUUCCUCCAACACCAGACGAGCUUGCCUCCGUCAGCUGCAGCGACGCCCACAUCGUUGUUCCUUUCCCCCAUCUCCGCUGUCAUCUUCCAGCACCGGCGUCCACCUCCCUCAACAGCCAACGGAGAAUCAACCACAGCCUCACAACGACAGCUUCUCCCUGCAGGCCCGCGAUCUUCAUCGUCGGCCGAUAGCCAAGACAUAACCAUCCCCUUCGUCAUCUCCUCCGAUCGACAGCAGACCCAGCUCACUGCCUCCAGCAACGCCGUUCCUCGCCGGAGACAGAGAGGAGAGGGAAGCAGACCCGAAACGAUGAAGAGAGAACAAAAACAAAUCUGAAAAACUAAGAAAAAAGUUAAAAUCGACUGCUGUGUUGUUCCCUUUUUUUGUUCUGCAGGUCAUCGCCGGCGUUGGGAGGCUGAGAAGAAGCCGAUCCCCCCUGUUGCUGUGUUUUCUCGUGGAGGCGCGUGAACCCACGCGCCGCCAGUGGCGGGGGCGCGUGGGAAGACGCGCUGCCAGUGGCGGGGGCGCGUGGGAAGACGCGCCGCCACUGAUUUUCUGCCCCAGCAGCCUUCCCGAGCACUGUUCCUGCGGUUCUAAAUGGACUUCCCUGCACUUCUUGGACUAUUUAGGGACUGUUUAGUAAUUUUAGACUUGUUUAAUGUAUUUUUUUGUUUAAUGUAAUUUUUGUUUAUUUUUGAGUUUUUUUUGUAAUUUGUAUUUUGUAAAGAUGGAUGUAAAAGAAAAAAAAGAAAAAAGAAAAGAAAAGAAACAAAAAUAAAAUAGUGAAAUGUAUGUGUGUGCUUGUAUUUUGUUUUAUUUAUUUGUACAUAUUUUUUUAAUGAUAAAAUUGCAAAUAUAUUAAAGAAGAAUUUAAUAUUUUGAUCGGAUCACGGUUAAGAAUUAUUAACUUAUACGUAAGUGAUAUUUCUAAUUUCCGAGAAAAGACAAUUAUUAAAACUUCUUUAACACGUCAAAGCCACGAAGCAGCUUACCUCAGGUAGGGUGCGUUAGGGGUGCUAAUACCUUCCCUAACCACAACCAGUCCCUUACCCGCGAAUCUCUGACAAGACCAGUACAUCAGGUUUCCUAGUAGCCCUCAAUCAAUUACUAGGUGGCGACUCCAACGAACCAAUUCAAGCAAACGUAACAAACGAGAUUUAAAUCGCCAGCCGAUGCCGCGCGCUGAUUUUUUUGGGGUGCGACAGAAUGGCGACUCCACUGGGGAAGGUACUGUUUCUGACAUUAUUGGACUAAGCUUUGUGUAUUUGAUGUGUUUAAGUUUUUGCAUUUUUAUCUUUUUGUUAAUAUUUAUUUCCAUGCAUUUUAUAGAAUUGUCUCAUGCAUCACCUGUAUUUAUUUUUGAAAGCACACACAAGCUUCUAGGUUAGGUGGGGAACUAGCGAUCUGCCCUAAGACUAUUGGUCAGGGUUCAGAUGCGUGAAACACCCAACUCAUAUCUGAGUGCCUGCUUGGUAAUGGUGGGUAUACGUGCCUUAACCAUUCCUUGCAACGCCCCAUACUGUCUUUACGAAGAACGUCACUGGGCAGAUAUGAGACCCUUUUGAGACCAGAUAGAAAACCUACCCAUGUUCACAUAAUGAAUAGAACCUGUCCUUAGGUUGUAUGUGCUAUCGUUUUUUGCAUAAGGGCAAACCCUUCUUGAAGCAUCUUGAACUCAAGACUUGUGGGUGACACAUUGGCCGUUGCUCCGAAAAUUUUCAUUGUAGAGUUUGGGCAAAAAUCACGAUUCUUGUCCAUCAUACAAGAGUUACGACCAUAUUGUCACCUCUCGAAGGGUGAGUUCAUCAUAUAGAUUACAUGUUCAUACAUUUAUCAUGCAUGUACCGGGCUGAAAGGUAGGUCCCCCACACAAGCUGUGCUGCACGUGAUUGGAGAAAAAUGAUGGAGGUGAAGAAAGGUGUCAGAUAGAGGCUCAUUAUCAGAUUAAGGUUGAGAGCAUUAAAUGUGAAGUAGCUAGACUCAGAUCUGCUCGAACAAGUGUUGACAUCAAAUGGAAAGAGAAUAUCUGCACAGUCUUCUGUGGGAACACUGCUUGUUCACAUCUAAUUGAAGCUGUAUCUCUCCUUUUCGUCAUGAACAACAACAACAACAACGCCUUCAGUCAUCAACUAAUGACAACUCUGGUUCUUAUCCAGUUGCAUUGUUAAAUGUUCAUCGCCUCCACAUCAUCUAAUGGAACCAAACAACUACCAGUCUCCUGUACAUGGUGCAUUAAUCUGCUUUGAAGUUACCCCGAUUACGAGCUCAAUUCCAGUUCAGCAGCACAAGAUGGUCUGAAAAACCAUGAUUGAACACUGAACUUCAAUGUGGCAGAGCUCUCUCUACAAAAAUCAAUUUAUGGCUCUGCAAAUUGGGAAGGCAAGAGGGGAUUUAUAAGUUGCAUAUGCUACAAAUAUUUCUCUCAUCAGUUUCAGCACGAAGACCUCUUAGUAGGUUGAAGAGCCAGACCUGGUCUGAAAAAUAUGAGCAGACAUCAAACUUCAACGUAGCAAAGCUCACUCAGCAGGAAUCUGUUUGUGGAUCCGCAAGUGGGAAGUCCAAGAAGGAAUACAGUAGUUUCAGGUCAUCUAUGAUUUUCCUCCAACAGUGUCAGUAUUAAAACGCAAAAGUAGAGAAAAGAGACAUGCCUAGACUGAAAAACAUGAAGAAUACUGAAACUUCAACAGAGCAGGACUUCCUCUAUAGGUGUUUGUUUGCUGCACUGUCAGUGAGAAAUCGAAGAGGGGACAAAGGAGUUUUAGAUUCAUCAGGUGCUCUUCCAAUAGAGACAAUGUGUGAUUCCACACGUCGGUAGUGGCGAUACUACAAGUUUCUGGGCGCUGCCAAGAUUACCAAGCUGUUAGAAAGUUUUCUAACAAUCCUCAACCAACCAUAGCAACAUUGGAAGAUUGAAAUAAUGUUGUGAGGAUUUGCCGAAAAAUUGAACAAGCUAUCAAGAUGAGAAAGAUUGAAGGUUCUGCCAUGGAUUCUAGAACAAUGAUGAGAUGAAUCAGGAGAUGACUUUGACGGUGUGAGCCCUUAAUUAUGUGGUAUAGCCAGGUCUCACGGUAGCAUCAAUUGCUCAAAUAUCUUUGCCAAGAUGGGACAUUCCUCUGCCAUUUAAGUUUGUCGACCAGCAUCUGCCAGAUUCCAGAAUUUUGCUUGACUCCGACAAAUCCUAUGCAACCACCAUUUUCUGGGUGGUUUAAUCCAGACAAGAGAUGUGAUGUCAUGUGGGGUCCUCAACCAUUUCAAUUGAGCAAUUUCAAGAAUUGCAAGAAUUGAGUUGAAAGUUGGUGAGCAAGAGACAAGUGGAGUCGGUGAAGGAGGGUGUCAUUGGCUAUAUUGCCCCCCGAACAUCUUCAGAAUGACAUGUUGAUCGAAAGUGCUUGACAAAACGCAAAUAUUGCCAGAAAAGCUGAUUCAAGAAUGGUGAUGAACAGUCAAUCAUAUUGUUUUGGAAUUCUGCAUUUUGUUUUGGGAUCACCUCUCAUCCUUCAACGAAACAUGCCUUGCUUUUGUCUCUUUGUUGUUUUGAAAUCAACAGAUGUUUAGCAUUUUAUUCUGACAAAAUAUUUUGAUCAAACUCCAACAUGCGAUAAAGGUUAAUCAAUCCGGAAGAUUAAAAGUGUUUUGAUUACAGAAAUGACUCUAUGCUUGAAAAUGACAUGAGGUGACCAAACAAUUUUGAACUCAUACCUUUUGAAACUGAACCACACAUCAUAUAGCUAAGUUUUAGCAGUAUGCAUAAUGACAUGUAGUGGAUUCAAUAGUUAUGGACUCGUGAAUCAUGAUUCUUGCAAGUACAAAUCAUUACACUAGAUGAGGUCAAAAUUUAUCGGUUCUAACCGACCUUGCUUGAAAUGAGAAAAGGCCAUCUUUGAUAUCUCUUCACUUUCUAAAAAUUAUAUCCCUUGUAGUCCCAUUUUGAGCUGGUAGAAUAUUUUUUUUUUAAAAACCCUGACUAGGAUCACACCCCACACUGGGGGCAAAUGAGAAAUAUUUUGGAGACACGAACAAAAUCAAUGGAUCAAAGAAAAGCUUAGAACAAAAGUCCAAUGUUUGAGAAAGGGCUAGAAGAAGAAAAUCCAUAGAUUGAGGGCCAUCCAAGAAAAACUUUGAGGAAAGGAAAGAAAAUGCCUACCAAUUCUAAGAGAGGCAAGACAAUUUUCAAUUGAGAAAGGACAAUAAAUGCCAAAAGUCAACACUAGAAAAAUCGAUGCUUCAUAUCUUUCAGUGUGUCUUGGAUAGAGCCUCUAAUGUCUUCAAAAAUAAUUAGAUUAGUUUAUUCAUCAAAGAAAAGUUGGAUUUGCAUUAUGACCUAUGUUAAGAGAAUUCUGAUAUUUGAAGAUUAACAAGGUUAUAUGUCACUCUCGCUACAAUGACGACAAGAGAAAGAGAAUCGAUGAAUAGUUAAUGUUGGUCCUAGGUCGUUGAAACCCUCAAACACCUUUUGAGCCUAUGGAAUUCCUUUCUUUCAUAGCCAUGAACCAUAGCCUGCAUUACGUGCUUUUAAAAAGCCCUUUUUAAUCAAGCAAGCAAUCUGAACCAAUAAAUGGCGAUCUCAAAACUUGAAGAGUUUUUCUAUAAGAGUCGUGGCUUCAUUGAAUUAGGCUACUGGUUAUUAUGCAUGCUGAUAAAAUAAAUACUGAGAAAAGAAACAACCUUUCUUUAUCAAGCCUGAGCAUCUAGUCAUUUGAAAUUCACAAAAAUAUCACCUCACCAUAAACCAUCAAAAGAUAUACCCAAAAUCAGAGUUUAAAGUGGACACAAAGAACCAUGAAAAAGUCAUUUUAAAUCUUACAACGGGUCAUUUUUGUUUUUAAAAUACAAGACAAUCAAAGGACUGCAUUGAAUAGUGUGUUGGGUCUUUGACCAAAGAGCUCGAAUUUCAAAAAUAACUUUUCAAAAACUGAUAUCUCUCUGAUUUCAUUUCAACAAUUAUACUUGAAUAGACAUGAUCGUUGAAAUGUUGAGAUUUGAUUCCAGAACAAGAAAGAUUUUCAAACAAGAACAUCAAUUGAGUUUGCAAAAUUCUUGACAAAAAUGACAUCAACAUUUCUCGACACUCCUUGAAACGUUGACCACCUGGGGGCAAUACAGUGGACCUUAAGAAGGAAAGCAAACAGUAUCCAGAUCAGCUGGGGGCAAAGAAAGAAUCCGAUGAUGAGUCGUCAAAGUUCAUCAAAGUUAUGUUUAGCAUCUGACAAUGACAAAGAAAAACCUUCUUGAGUAUAAACCGAUGAAUGAACCUUCAGAUCAUACUGAGGCCAAUGUUGUUCAAAGACAAUCCAUGAUCUAGUGCACUUCAGCAGCAAUUGAUGAGCAACGCUGCACUAGAAAGAUAUUUUCAUAUCUUCAUCUUAGGUUACUUUGUAAAACAUGGAUAUGACUCCGGACAGAUAUUAUCGGGUGAGUGCAUUUGGAUGAACAUCGAACAUAUGCAUACCACCAAGAUUUAUAAUGGGACCAUCUAUUCUGAAGCUCAAAUGCGCACUUCACCGCAUGAAUAUGGGUGAUAACAUGAACAUCAUUGAUGAUGCCAAAGCAGGUAUUUUCACGAUCUGAUUUGACAAGCUAAGAGGAAUCCAUAGAGAAAUACAUCGCGCUUACAAUGAUGAGCUGUUUACUGCAAAGCAUGAGAUACAUGUCUGGAUGACUUGGCAGUUCCAUGAAGGCUGGUGACCAUACAUACUUGAAUGGUGUUUCAACCGAAGGCAAGUUCAUGACUGAUUAACAAACGUGAUGGUUGUUGGCAUGAUGCACACAAUCAAUCAGAGGAUAAUUCUCAGAAGAAGCCAGGAGAUAAAAUCCUUCAUGAUGAAUCAAGCAGUACCACACUUGGGGGCAGGGUCAAGCUUCAUGAACGAUGCAAGCAGUAAUUGUCGAAGACAGCCCGGGAUGGGCACUGCAUUUACAACUGAGUGGAUGGCUAACACAUGAAUGAGCCAAUACAUCGGAAGAACAAAGAAAGCUUUGGGAUACAAACAAGGGCACCCUAUGACGAUGGAGCAUCAAAGAGGGGGGGGGGGACCUAUAUUUCAAAUCAAGAAAAUCCUUAAUGAGGUCCAACAAGAUGGUGGAAAGAGAAAGAAGCAUUGUGGUGAUGAUAAUAAAGAAUCGGUUUUGACCAUGAAAUAAAAGGACGAUGGGAUGAACCCUACCAUUAGGAAAAUCCCAAAGAAAUGAAUAGAUCAACCUUGCAACCGGGAAGCCUCGAGUUUUCAACCCUUGCAGUCAGGAAACACCGAGUUUUCAAACCCCAUGAUCGGGAAUUAUCAAGAAGCACCAAUUUUUCCAGCCCGUUCUUCUGUCAUCCCUUCAGAACUUCGCCAGGUAAGUCCAAUUUUUCACACUUGUCAUAUCACAUUUUUUCCAUCUGGGUAGGUCGCCCAUCAUAAUAAGAUCGUUUUUCACAUUUUUUCCAUCCGGGUAGGUCACCCAUGACAAUGAGACCGCACUUCAUCAUAUUUUUUCCAUCUGGGUAGGUCACCCAUUACAAUGAGACCCCACUUCAUAUUUUUUCCACGUGGGUAGGUCACCCAUUACAAUGAGACCGCACUUCACAUUUUUUCCACGUGGGUAGGUCACCCAUACAAUGAGACCAUCAUUUUUCUUGGGUUCGUCACCCAUACAAUGAGACCAUCAUUUUUCUUGGGUUCGUCACCCAUACAAUGAGACCAUCAUUUUUUCUAGGGUUCGUCACCCAUACAAUGAGACCAUCAUUUUUCUAGGGUUCGUCACCCAUACAAUGAGACCAUCAUUUUUCUGGGGUUCGUCACCCAUACAAUGAGACCAUUUUUCUGGGGUUCGUCACCCAUACAAUGAGACCAUCAUUUUUUUCUUGGGUUUGUCACCCAUACAAUGAGACCAUUUUUCACACAUUCUUUUGUUUUGGUUAAAUGAGGUCGCCAGAUGGGAUCUCGGGUAGCUUUGGUUAAAGGGAAUCGCCAGAUGGGAUUUCAGGUUAACCGAGUUACACAAUAUUUUCGUUCCAGUUGAAUGAGGUCGCCAGAUGGGAUCUCAGGUAAACCCAAUGUGUGGGCAGGUCGCCCGUGAAAAUAGACCAGAGUGAGUAUGUGUGGGCAGGUCGCCCGUGAAAAUAGAUCAGUGUGAGUGUGUGGGCAGGUCGCCCAAGAUAAUGAAAUCAUUUUCCUUUUGUUUUCUUUACAAAGCUUACUAUGCAAAAUUUUGAGGAUUUUCGCUUCGUAAGCAUUGUAAAGAAGGGGCAUCUGUUGCUACCUAAUUUUUUGACCCAUGUUUUUGAGAUAUUUUCAAAAAAAAUCCAAAAAUAGAGAAAAAACAAUGAAAAGCCAAAAAAAAUAUGUUUUUUAAUAUAUUUUCAUCAUUUUAGCAUUUUUCAACGUCGUCUAAAAAAAAAAACAAAAAAAGAAUUAAAAUUUUUAAAAUAUUUUCAAACGCGUUCAACUUUUCACGCGUCAUUUUUAAAAUCAUUGAUUUUCCUCGUUUAGUCGACGUUGAUAUUGCUUGUUUUCAAAAAUAUACAAAAAAAUAAGAAAAAUCAAAAUUUACAAAAAGAAAGAAGUUGAGGGACCAAGUUGAAAAACUUGGCAAUAUUUUUGCCUAUAAAUACUGGUCUUUAACUCACACAAUGGGGGGGGGGGCAAUUUUGAAAUAUAAAAAAAAAUACAAAAAAACAACCUAACCCUAAACCUAUCUCUACCAAGCCUGCCGCCCCCCUCCCUUUGAAUUUUGUUUCCCGAGCCUUCUUCUCCUGAAGCCAAAACACAGCCGCCCUCACCUUUUUGCAUUUUUGAACACCGGCCAAACAGCCCCCCCCAAACCCCCCGGUUUGAUUUUUCUUCCUUUCUCCCUUACACAGCGCCGUCCUUCAGCCCC
rnacentral:lncRNA from 1 species